CACGUACCGUUAGCCGGUGCUUCUUAUCUAGGUACCGUCACAAAAAGCUUCGUCCCUAGCGAAAGGAGUUUACAACCCGAAGGCCUUCAUCCCCCACGCGGCGUCGCUGCAUCAGGCUUGCGCCCAUUGUGCAAUAUUCCCCACUGCUGCCUCCCGUAGGAGUCUGGGCCGUAUCUCAGUCCCAAUGUGGCCGUACACCCUCUCAGGCCGGCUACCCGUCGCCGCCUUGGUAGGCCAUUACCCCACCAACAAGCUGAUAGGCCGCGAGCUCAUCCUACACCGAAAAAACUUUCCAACCACCACACUAAAGAUGGCUCCUAUCCGGUAUUAGACCCAGUUUCCCAAGCUUAUCCCGAAGUGCAGGGCAGAUCACCCACGUGUUACUCACCCGUUCGCCACUCGAGUACCCUGCAAGCAGGGCCUUUCCGUUCGACUUGCAUGUGUUAAGCACGCCGCCAGCGUUCUCCUGAGCCAGGAUCCAAACUCCU
rnacentral:rRNA from 1 species